UGAAAAUAAAUAGGAGAGGAACAGAAAAAAAGAACUCAUUAGAAAUUUUUUGAAAUAAUCCAGCAUACGAUUUGCAAAGGUGCAAAUUAAGAAAGGAUAAGCAUAGGGAAAAGUGAAAGGAUUAAAAAAUAUUUGAGGACCACAUUUUAGUAUUUGAUAAAUGAAUGGAUGUGGGGAGUGGAGAAAGCAGUAAAGAAACUUUCAAGAAAAAGCUCGUGUUUCUACUUUGAGUUUGGUAAUUUGCAGGGCAAUUGAUAGUGUUUUGUUUUUUUUUUUUUUUUUUUUAAGGGCGUAGAACAAGUCAAUUUGGUGAAUAGAUGAGGAGACAAUUUUGAAUGUCUCUGAUUGGAGAUACUUGUAUCUAGAGGUAGAACUUUCUAAAUAAUAGGUGGAAAGUAUAAUAGAAAAUUGAAGCAAGACUGCUUUUCUUUGACCAUUAAGUUCAGUGUUUCUCAGACGUUGUUAUAUGUAGAAAUGAGAUAAAAUAGUACUCUAUCAAAGCUACUUCCCUAACCUUUAACUUAUUGGCAAUAAUUGUUGGUCCAUUUUACUCCCUGUCUCUUUUCUUUUUCCCUCUUUUAUUAUCGGGAUACAACAUAAAUAAUUUUACUAUUUGAAUAAUCCAAGGUAUUUAAGUUGGUAAAACGCUAAUCUAGUCUUAUCUUCUCAUUUAUUAAUAUGAGAAAAAUGAAGCAGAAUGUUGCCUUUUACUCCCCUACCAAGGAGAGGUCUGAAUGAGGUUUAACUGACUUCUAAGGCAGUGGUGGUUCUACAAUCACAUAAUUGUGGAGGCAAUUUUUACUUUGAUUUCAGAGAGCUGACUGUCAAAUCUAUGGAGGGAGAGCUUUUGUUUUGAGUAAAGCCGAUGUUUCUGAGCCCACAAAUGUUUGAGAGGUUGUUAGGGAAAUCCUCUUCACCACCAGGAGAGGCUGCAUAUCUGAAAAAGAGAGAGCAUGCUUUCUGAUUGAACCCUAUUUUAUUGCAACCAUCAGACGUUUUCUUCUCUCUUCUCUGGGAUGGUCAAUCAAGCUACAUCAGAGAGAUAAUGAAAUUUUGUCACAGAGUAAGCGCAAGUCCAUGUCUCACCACAUGAAGAGUAACACACUCAUCUGUGUGACUCUUGGCGUAUAAAACUACCACCUGCAGAACUUGGACAAGUUGUUUGAUGUCUCUGAGAAUCUAGUUGAAGCAUGUAAAAUUCUUCAAAUUAUUAGACCUGACUUUGGGUAACUUUUUUUCUUUAUUGAUUUCCUUGGCCAUAGUUUUUAUUCUCACCAUGGGAAUCUUGAAGAUUAUCUGGAAAAGAUCUGUCAAUGUACUUAUUUUCUCCCCAGUAUUGAUUCAACUUCUUUGCCUAAUCUGAAUUAACUAUAUAACUAUUAUAUAUAUUAACUAUAUAACAGCAACAACAUGUGUAGGUCACAUGUAUUUAUGCUGAACUUUGCUUUUAUAAAGUUUUUGUUUUCUUUAAAAAUAUUUGCAUUUUUAAAGUUUUUGUACUACAGAGGCAUUUUCUGCAAAGGAGAAGGAUAAAUUUUCUCUUAUGAGGAAGACCUUUGUUUGUUUGUUUUUGUUUUGAGAUGGAGUCUCAUCCUGUUGCCCAGGUUGGAGUAUGGUGGUGCGAUC